CAGCCCCAGCACUGCCCAAUCCCCACUCGGCCGUUCCCCAAGUCCCCAACCUAACCUAGCGCCUGUGGCCAGCGGCGGCGGCCAGUACCGACUGCAGGCAGCGGCAAGCGGAGCCACUGAACGGGCGACCAGCGGCAGCAGACCAGGUGGAUUUGUAGUGCAGUCAAAUUGGACAAAUUGCUGCUAGUGAUGGAUUUGAACGCAACGAGUUACUGCCUACUAGUGCUGGAUUUGAUUAGUCUGAAGGUGGGUAUUCUGGGUUAAAGUUUUGGGGACAAAUUGCUGCUUGUGUUGCUGUCAAAUAUGCACACCACUCUGCUAGUGCCUACUGAGUGCGCGAAAAUAUUAUUGGUUGAAUAAUUUGGUACAACUCCUCUGCUGUUCAUGAUGUUGUAGAAUGGUUACAUUUGUUGAGGGAGAAUUUUUUGAUCAAGUGAAGGAUGAAGAUGUCAUCAAUCUCUUCCAAAAAGGCGACCGCAAAGUUAUAUUGUCAGAAGGAUAUCAUCACUUUAUCAAUCAAAAGUAAACAGAGAUGACAAGCAUCAUUAGGAGAGUUUCACUGUAGCCUAAUUAUCCGGGCGUUACACGUUGAGAUCACCUUCGGCUCCGAGCUCGAUGUCUUCUUCAAGCUCCCGUGCCACCUCGUGGAUGCAGAGCCCGGCGCGCAUGCAAAUGCCGAUCUUCGUCUGGCCGCGAUGCCGGGCAGGCGUUGAUCGGAGGGUUUCUCACACACCGAAGAACCAUAAUCGUCCGUACUACGUGUGCAGCGAGAAUGGGGUGAAAUGUUUCUUCCUUUUGGUCGAUGCUCUGGCCAAGACUCUGAUGAAUGAACUGCAAGAAGAGCAUGAAGAAUGGUUGCCCAUGCUGCCACGAACGGUAGUGGCCGCAGCACGAGCUUCGGAAGAAGAGAUGGAGGGCGAAGCACGCAAUGACAGAGAGCUAGCUGUUGAGCUUUAAUGUUGAAGAAGAAGGUUAGGAAGCUCGAAUAUCAAGCACAAAUACCCAUUUGCAAUUACUUUUGGGAAUUUGUAGGUAUGGUAAUCGCACUGGGUGUAAUGUUGAAAUUGUAUGGAAAGGCAUGAAUUAUGGAGGAAUUUGUAAGCUUGAAAUUGUAUGAGAAAUUCACCUUGUUUAAAUGUUGAAAAAAGGGAGAAGAAAUGACCAACAUUUAAAUAUGUUGAAAA